ensembl:lncRNA
CCGCACAGCUCCGCCAGUGAUUGCCUGGCUGGAGACUCAGAUACUCAAGUUUCCCUUGGCGUGCUCUCCUGGUGGGUAGGCUAGGCUAACCCCCAAACCCUGCGGUGCUCUCCGCGGGAAGAAGGGCGCUGAGGGCGCAGGUUGUCAGCUCAGAGCGUAAGGACGCGUGUAUGUAAGGAGGGGCAAGGCGAGCGGUACCAGCCCCAGGGUCCGGCUAGUCUACCUCGGUGUGCUCCUCUGCACCCCAGGACUGAGCUAGGCUGCUCCAGCAGGCGAGGAUCCCGGAGCCAAGGAGUUCCGAGAGCCCGGGGAUUAAGCGGCUACUUCAUGAACUCCAAAUCCCCAGGCACCCGCGCCCCGGUUUAUGAUGAUCGCUGAGCUAGCGCCCCCCCCCCCCGCUUCCACUUCCAGAUGCCAGCCUGUGGCUUGGGGCAGGAAGCAGCCGGGCGCUCCAGGAUUCUCGGGAUUGGGACUGUAGACAGAAGAAAGCCUGGCUGUUGUGGGAGACCCGCUGCUGAGCCCAGAGAGCUGCGACCGUGUUUCUGCCACGUAAAACAUAGGCAGACCUUGGAGCGCGGAGCCUGGUUGCAGCGGAGCACGGCCUCCUCACCCUGUCCUCACCCUGCGUAAAGGCGCGGGGCUGGGUAACCCCCCCCCACCCCCGACGCUGCAGGCUGUAUUGUUCCCCGAGAUUUGAAGCCCUCUCCUUUGGGGUUACAUGAACCCGGAGGAUGGGUGGUGGCGCGCCUUUCAGCUAGGGGGCAGGCGCCUACAGACACUGACCAGCCACGUAGAAACACAGGUGCUCCAGGAAUUCUGAAUCUGGGGUCGAGGGGCCCAUUUCUGUGCAUCCCGAGGGAGGAGGGACAAGACUGGCAAGAAUCGGGUAUUGGGGUGUCAGGAUGAUCUUGGCAAGUGUCUCCUAGCGUCAGCUUUAGAUUACAGACAAUUGUGUCCACCGGCCCUCCAGCCUCCGAGGAGGUGCCUCCUGGGCGUCUGCCGGGUGCUCCCCUCCCCCAUCUCGUCCGGUUCCCUCCUCGAGGGCUUUCCGAGAACUGCAGCAGGUGGCGUUUGGCGUAUGAAUAGCAAGGACAACCCAGGGACUUAAACUGGUUGUGGCCUCUGAUCAAGCACUUCACCGGGCUCAUUGCCCUCCGAAGGAGUCGGUGAAGAAGGUGAAAAGGUCAUAAGCCUUCUGGGAAGUGGCAUUUAUAGACUCACUGCCAUCACAGAGACUGACUCCUACCUGGUGCAAGAGCUGGCAAAGAUUUAGGAAUGCUGGCAAGGAGACUCUGGUCAAAGGUUUUGGCUGAAAAACUAGGGUCAGCCAGGGAGAAAGGACGCUGGGACACUGGUGCUCCAGGCCAGGACUCUGCGUUGGGUGUCUGGGCUGGGCGCUCGACUGAAGCUUGUGCGAGGCGCGGAGCUGCUGCUUAUGCUCCCGCGCCCGACUCAGCCUUCUUUCCGGCCCUGGUUACCCGGCCCCGCCUACAGCACAGAUCCGCCCCCCUCCCCGCCCCAUCGCACCUCCACCCCGGGCGCAGUUAGCCAGCCCCGUCCCGAAGCGCCUCCGUUAGUCGCCACUGGGCUUCCUCCUAGGCUGCCUGACCCGUUGGAAGCCCCCCGGUGGGUUGGGCGCGCCGGGAGUCUGGGAGUCAAAUGCCCCGGGUCGAGCGGAAGGGGCAGUCGCGGGGCGGUCGGCCCUCUGCAGGCAAGGUCUAGGCGUCAGCCGCGCCCAGGGCAGAGCCAGGGGAACGACAGAGGCGGGGGACAGCCCUGGCGCCCUGCCACAGCGAGCGCGUGUCCCCGCCUCCCCACGCCAGGCGCCGGGUGCAUCCCUGCCAAUUCCAACUGCGCCGAUUACUUUAAUAGCUAUGUGUCUGCACAUGGAUAUACAUUGGGGAGUGCAGGUGCCCAUGGAACAAAAGUGUCAGAUACCCUGGAUCUGGAAUUAUAGACAGUUGUGAGUUCUGGGAACUGAACUCAGGUCCUCUGGAAGAACAAUCCAGUGUCCAGGACUCUUGCAGAACUCAAGGCUGGAGUAGGCCUUUACCAGGUCUCAAUGAAGCCGAGCAAAGGUUUUCAGAGUGCUAUCUGGACUUGUUUUUCUCUGUUUCCAAGUGGCAAACAUGCUGCUCUUUCAAAAGCUUUGAAAAGUCAUCAGAAACGAAGCAACCCUCUCCACCCACCUACUGUAAGAUGCCUGGAGCCUACACGCAGCCUAAGCCUGAGCAUGUCUCCUGUUAUCCUCUAGAACAGUUGGCUAAAAAACCAAAGAUACAUACUUUUCCUGACUACUCGUAUGAAAAUAGACACUCUCUAAAAAGAAAUUUAAAUAAUAUAUAAU